CUACGGGUCGCUCCAGUGAGGAAUAUUGCACAAUGGAGGAAACUCUGAUGCAGCAACGCCGCGUGGAGGAUGACGCAUUUCGGUGUGUAAACUCCUUUUAUGAGUCAAGAGAAUGACGGUAGCUCAUGAAUAAGCACCGGCUAACUCCGUGCCAGCAGCCGCGGUAGUACGGAGGGUGCAAGCGUUACUCGGAAUCACUGGGCGUAAAGGACGCGUAGGCGGGAGAUCAAGUCAGGUGUGAAAUCCUACAGCUUAACUGUAGAACUGCACUUGAAACUGGUAACCUAGAGUAUGGGAGGGGGAGAUGGAAUUAGUGGUGUAGGGGUAAAAUCCGUAGAUAUCACUAGGAAUACCUAAAGCGAAGGCGAUCUCCUGGAACAUAACUGACGCUAAGGCGUGAAAGCGUGGGGAGCAAACAGGAUUAGAUACCCUGGUAGUC
rnacentral:rRNA from 1 species